CCCAGCUUCUCUUUGUAUACUAGAUUAACUGUUAGUCAUAAUUUAAUCAAACUUUAGUUAAAACAGUAUAUAGUUUACGACAUACCCAUCUACUACAAACUCCAAAUCUUUACCAGGCUCCAGAAUAUUUCCAUCAUUUGUCUUCCAACGACCUUGUUCUUCCGUAGUAUCGGGCUCAAUAAAAAUCCAAUCUUUAGGUAUAGAUUUUCGCGGAAUAGAUGCAUUAAAAAUACCCAAAAUUAAUAGACCAAUAUGACUUGGACUGACUAAAUUAAUUUUUCCUUCUAGUGAUAGUUAGCAUUUAUUUUGGAGUUGGUAUAAAAUUUUGCACGACUGAAUUAUCAUGAUACAAAUCCAUCAUAGAAUCUCGAAUUUCUAAGCAUUUCAUACCUAAACAAUCGCCUUUUUUGGGAGAAAAUACUAAAACGUCUACACGGACCCAUAUAAAGGAGAAUGGGGAGUCAUACAUGACCUUUGCACUUUUUUCCAGGAAUCGAAUAUUGUCGUACGCCAACACUAUUCCAUUGAUUCUUGGGAGUUUGCUAAGAAUCAUACUAUCCAUAUGCUCCUGAAUAGCAUUUAAAGGAUCCCUGCUGUGUCCAGGAGCAAUGGAAAGGUAUAAAUCUACAGUCUGUUUGUAGAGUGAUAAAUCCGGCAUGUUGGCGGAACGCAAAUUUCCUUCAUCGACUGCAUCCAGUUUUACAGAUAUGUUCAAGGGUAAACAAAGCUCUUCAAUUGAUCAACCAAGGUCAUAUAUAACAUAUCAUGUCUUCGAGAAAGGUUAACAGCUAAAUAGGCGAUACUAUGGCAUCAAUAGAAAUGCCAAUUCUGUAAAUGACACCAUGUCACUACAGUGCUCAAGACAUUGAAAUUUUUUUUUUAAUUACAAUAAGAAAUACUUUACCUUUUUUUUCUCUUAUUUAAAUGAAGAAUAUUAUUGAGACAAAAUAAGUGAAUCGCUCAUUACUAUACAAAUAGUGUCUAUUUAAUAUAGCUAAAAUUAUUUCAAGAUUUUUUUGAUAUCUUAUUGAAAAAAAGAUUUUGUAACGCGACUACCAUGGAAUGGUUGCCAUAUUCUAAGAUGUUCCCAAAUAAAUAGUCAAUUCUUAAC